rnacentral:rRNA from 1 species
AUGGCUCUCCAGCUCCUCCCCUCCACCCUCUCCGUCCCCAAGAAGGGGAGCAGCAUGGGCGCGGUGGCGGUGAAGGACACGGCGGCGUUCCUGGGCGUGAGCAGCAAGGCGAAGAAGGCGUCGCUAGCGGUGAGGACGCAGGUGGCCACGGCGCCUUCGCCGGUGACGACGAGCCCGGGCUCGGCCGCGGCGAAGCCGAGCGGCAAGAAGACUCUGCGGCAGGGCGUGGUGGUGAUCACGGGCGCGUCCUCCGGGCUUGGCCUCGCGUCGGCCAAGGCGCUGGCAGAGACGGGCAAGUGGCACGUGGUCAUGGCGUGCCGCGACUUCCUCAAGGCCUCCAAGGCGGCCAAGGCUGCCGGCAUGGCUGACGGGAGCUACACCAUCAUGCACCUCGACCUCGCCUCGCUCGACAGCGUCCGGCAGUUCGUCGACGCGUUCCGCCGCGCCGAGAUGCCGCUGGACGUGCUCGUGUGCAACGCCGCCAUCUACCGCCCCACGGCGCGCACGCCGACAUUCACCGCCGACGGGCACGAGAUGAGCGUGGGCGUGAACCACCUCGGCCACUUCCUGCUCGCCCGCCUCCUCAUGGAGGACCUUCAGAAGUCCGACUACCCGUCCCGCCGCAUGGUCAUCGUCGGCUCCAUCACCGGCAACAGCAACACGCUGGCGGGCAACGUGCCGCCCAAGGCCAGCCUCGGUGACCUCCGCGGGCUCGCUGGCGGCCUCAGCGGCACGUCGGGCUCGGCCAUGAUCGACGGGGACGAGAGCUUCGACGGCGCCAAGGCGUACAAGGACAGCAAGGUGUGCAACAUGCUGACCAUGCAGGAGUUCCACCGGCGGUACCACGAGGAGACCGGCAUCACCUUCUCCUCGCUCUACCCCGGCUGCAUCGCCACCACGGGGCUGUUCCGGGAGCACAUCCCGCUGUUCCGCACGCUCUUCCCGCCGUUCCAGAAGUUCAUCACGAAGGGGUUCGUCUCGGAGGCGGAGUCCGGCAAGAGGCUGGCGCAGGUGGUGGCGGAGCCCAGCCUGACCAAGUCCGGCGUGUACUGGAGCUGGAACAAGGACUCGGCGUCCUUCGAGAACCAGCUCUCGCAGGAGGCCAGCGACCCCGAGAAGGCCCGCAAGGUCUGGGAGCUCAGCGAGAAGCUCGUCGGACUCGCCUGA